UCUUUGUUUGUGUGUGUCUGUCCUACUCCAGGUUUCCUCUCUAAUUGGGACCACGUGUGUGUCUCCGGGUUAUAUCUGGGCAAAACCCCCCCCUCCACCAGGGGUUGGGAGGUGGUUAUCUAUCCAACCCAAUCCGGGGCCGUUCGGGGUUGUUUGUGAUUCAUGAAACUAAUAGAAUCGCCCGCCCUGGCCCUGCGGUGGAUCAUUCCACUUACUACCUUAUCAACUUUCGAUGUUGGCUAUUGCCAAUCAUGGUGCAACGGGUAACGGAGGGUUAGGGCUCGACCCCGGAGAAGGAGCCUGAGAAACGGCUACUACAUCCAAGGAAGGCAGCAGGCGCGCAAAUUACCCAAUCCCGACUCGGGGAGGUAGUGACAAUAAAUACUGAUACAGGGCCCUUUCGGGCCUUGUAAUUGGAAUGAGUACAAUUUAAAUCCCUUAACGAGGAACAAUUGGAGGGCAAGUCUGGUGCCAGCAGCCGCGGUAAUUCCAGCUCCAAUAGCGUAUAUUAAAGUUGUUGUGGUUAAAAAGCUCGUAGUUGAACCUUGGGCCUGGCUGGCCGGUCCGCCUCACCGCGUGCACUGGUCCGGCCGGGCCUUUCCCUCUGUGGAACCCCAUACCCUUCACUGGGCGUGGCGGGGAAACAGGACAUUUACUUUGAAAAAAUUAGAGUGCUCCAGGCAGGCCUAUGCUCGAAUACAUUAGCAUGGAAUAAUAAAAUAGGACGCGCGGUUCUAUUUUGUUGGUUUAUAGGACCGCCGUAAUGAUUAAUAGGGACAGUCGGGGGCAUCAGUAUUCAACUGUCAGAGGUGAAAUUCUUGGAUCAGUUGAAGACUAACUACUGCGAAAGCAUUUGCCAAGGAUGUUUUCAUUAAUCAGGAACGAAAGUUAGGGGAUCGAAGACGAUCAGAUACCGUCGUAGUCUUAACCAUAAACUAUGCCGACUAGGGAUCGGACGGUGUUAUUCAUGACCCGUUCGGCACCUUACGAGAAAUCAAAGUGCUUGGGCUCCAGGGGGAGUAUGGUCGCAAGGCUGAAACUUAAAGAAAUUGAC
rnacentral:rRNA from 1 species